AUCUGAAAUUGCACAACCCGCGCGCUUGAACCCUAUCGUUCUUCUUCUUUCUCCUUCUGCUUGAGUUCGUCUUUGUCGCAAACUGGCCUGCGCUUCCGUGACUGCAACCACAUUGUGGAGAUCGUGUUUGUGGAGUUCGUCUCUGUCGAUUGAGGUAUGUCCUUUCGUUUUAACAUUAGGCGUUCGUCGUUUUAACAUUUGCUCACUUUCGCAGGUCGAAGAAAACUAGGAAAGGAAAGAGUCCCGGAAAGGGUACUCCCAGGGCGUUCUUGUUGUUUCUCCUUUUGCCUGAGUUCGUGUUUGUCGCAAAGUGGGCUGCGCUUCCGUGACUGCAACCACAUUGUUGAGUUCGUGUUUGUGGAGUUCGUGUCUGCCACUUAUCUUUUGAGGUCGAAGAAAACUAGGAAAGGAAAGAGUCCCGGAAAGGGUGGGACUCGAUUUUGGAAGUCCAUUGUGCUUGGCUUUAAGACUCCCAGGGAAGCCAUCGAAGGUACAUGAUUCCUAUUUGUUGUGAGAGUGAAAUGAUGGGCAGCAGUAGCAAGUGAGG